CGACAGGAGCAGAGAUUGGAGAAGGUUCCAGAAAGAAGUGUGCCACAUAGGGAAGAUUGCAUGGGUGGAACCCUGUUUAUGCAAAGCAGCUGCCUGCAGAGUAUUGGCUAAGUCCUUGAAAGAAAGUGGAAUUCUGCUUGGAAGAACUAUGUGAUUGGAACUGGGACCAUAUGGACUUUCAGAUCACCUAUAAGAUUCAGGAGAUAGUCUUUAUGAUUCCCACAGAGACCAUAGGACUGACUUAAAGCUGUAGUUCUCACCACUGGCAGUCCACAGGCUGGUCCAAAAUGCAAGUCACCGGCAUGCAAUGCCAUGGCUGAGGCCAUACAAGAGAACGGGCCAAAAACCUCGUCCUUGGCACUUGUGAGGUCACACAGCAUAAACAGCAUGAGUCUUCAUAAGAGACAAUUCACAAGAAUACCACAUGUAACCGGAACAACAAUUUAUACUUCAUGAGAAGAGUGCUGAAUAGUUGGUUCGAGCCUCAAUCCAGGGGUUGAUGGUCAAAUGAUUCAGGAGCACUUUAAAGAUUCCAUAACCCGAAUCCAUGAGGAGCAUGGAAUUCUUUCCAGUGUUUGAGCCAACAUUAUUUUUCAAUCAACACUACCAGAAAUAGAAUCACUUACACCCAUCGUAAAG